rnacentral:rRNA from 1 species
UACGUAGGGUGCAAGCGUUGUCCGGAAUUAUUGGGCGUAAAGAGCUCGUAGGCGGUUUGUUGCGUCGGCUGUGAAAUCCCGAGGCUCAACCUCGGGUCUGCAGUCGAUACGAGCAAACUAGAGUGUUGCAGGGGAGACUGGAAUUCCUGGUGUAGCGGUGAAAUGCGCAGAUAUCAGGAGGAACACCGGUGGCGAAGGCGGGUCUCUGGGCAACAACUGACGCUGAGGAGCGAAAGCGUGGGGAGCGAUCAGG